rnacentral:misc_RNA from 1 species
GUGUCUUUGUGCAUGGGUUUCAGGCAAGUCUUUUCUAUACUUUCUAUUGAAUGCUUAAAUUGCAUAUCUUUUUUCCUUUUGGUUUGGUUCCUCUAUGUGUGUGUGUGUGCACGUGUUUUCUUUGGUCUGCUCCUUUUCUUUCAAGAGCAAAUUUAACAGUGGAACCAGGGCAGUUUGUAUACGGUGCAUUUGGUGCUAUAUUUGUGGCUGUUUUACAAACAAUGGUACUUUAGUUGACCUUAUAUAAUGUACCUGAAUUUUGUUACUGAUAUG